GAAGAAACCCAUAGAGAGGUACCAAACCAAAAUAAAUCACCACAAUUGAAGCUCUACUCUUGUACACCAAAGCUCGAUCCGCAACCUAAGCAAUAAAGCUAAACUACUGUUUAUAGCUCUGGCGAGCACUGUUUCUAAUUGGUAUGUAAGCUUAAGCUAUCAGUAAAUGGUGUUGUAAUAUGUGUGAAUUUUUAUUUUGCACAGAAUUAAUUGCUUUCAAGCAUGCUGUUAUAAUUUGAUUUGUACUUCUUUUUUUUUGGUUGAACUA
rnacentral:lncRNA from 1 species